rnacentral:rRNA from 1 species
CCCUUAGAUGUUCUGGGCCGCACGCGCGCUACACUGACGAUGGCAACGAGUUUUUCCUUCGCCGAAAGGUGUGGGUAAUCUUUUGAAACAUCGUCGUGCUGGGGAUAGAUCAUUGCAAUUUUUGAUCUUGAACGAGGAACUCCUAGUAAGCGCGAGUCAUCAGCUCGCGUUGAUUACGUCCCUGCCCUUUGUACACACCGCCCGUCGCUACUACCGAUUGAAUGGUUUAGUGAGGACUCCUGAUUGGCGCCGCCGCCCCGGCAACGGAGCAGCGGACUGCCGAAAAGUUGUUCAAACUUGAUCAUUUAGAGGAAGUAAAAGUCGUAACA